UAUCAGAUGAGCCUAGGUCGGAUUAGCUAGUUGGUGAGGUAAUGGCUCACCAAGGCGACGAUCCGUAACUGGUCUGAGAGGAUGAUCAGUCACACUGGAACUGAGACACGGUCCAGACUCCUACGGGAGGCAGCAGUGGGGAAUAUUGGACAAUGGGCGAAAGCCUGAUCCAGACAGGCCGCGUGUGUGAAGAAGGUCUUCGGAUUGUAAACUAAUUGAGUGGGAGGAAGGGCAGUUACCUAAUACGUGAUUGUU
rnacentral:rRNA from 1 species